GUCGCCGUCGCACUACUAGAACUCUGAGGAGCAGACGACGUACUGGGCAAGGACCCUUCGAUAUUCAAACAUAAUUUACUAUUAAUUCUUAAAAUUAGUGUUUGUACCUCAGCCAUUAUGUUCUCUGAUUCUUCUAUUUCCCCAUCAAUUUCUUCCUCGAGAUCCUUGUCGCCACAAAGUAUAUUUAAUAUUUUAUCGUCGAGGUCCUUUAACGUUCUUAGUUUGUCCGUGAACGUAAUUUUUUUUUAUCCAACACUAGUUUUGCUUCUGCCGUCUCUUCGUUCGACGCUAUUAGUUCUUUAGUCAUUCCAAUGAGUUUCUUUAUUUAGCUGCGAUGCCCUCCGCGCACUUUUCGUAUCUUCACCAACGCAGUCAUUUUGCGUUUCUUUCAAUGCCCAGGUUUCGCAAACUUUACCCACAGUCUACACCGUCAAGGAAGUUUGCACACGCUGGUUCCCAAUUCCUACGAUCAAGGGACUGUAUCUAUCGGUUAUAUAUUUUCUUUAUUA